UACUAGGGCCAAAAUACCUUAAAGGUACCAGAUCCCGCCUGAUCUUGGCAGCUAAGCAGGAUCAGUUCUGUUUAGCAUUUGGAUAGGAGAACGGCAAUGAAUACUAGGUGCUGGAAGCUAUAUUUC
rnacentral:rRNA from 11 species